GAACCAGUGCUUUAGAAACUCCACACAGUUAAGCAGUGUGUCUGCUUACUGUCUGUUAUAUAACUUUAGACCCAAGGACAAUGCUUGACAGAGUCAGUAUUCAAAAAUCUGUCCAAGGUGCCUUUGUUUGGUGCUCUCCGACGAGGAGUGUUUGAGCAAUAUAUGCACAAGGUCUCUUCUAACAGCCGCCAAAACUUGAAUUGGAGAUGCUAGAGAGGAAGAUGUAGAAAAUGGGCAAAAUAUCAGCCUGAUACCAUGAGGAUGAAUGAGAGAGAGCUUACCCUUGCCUCUCCACAACCAGGGCAGCUUGGUGAUUUUGGACCCAGUCUGAAAAUGUCGAAACUGAGCUGAGACUUAUUUCCGUUGAGCAUUUCUCAAAGUAUGACAUAUGUGGCAGCACUUGAGAUGAUUUUAGGGUGUGUGGACAAACUUUGUUAUCAUGUCAAUUAUAGAUAUAUCUAAUGACCAUAGAAAAUGAGAUCCGUCCCUUAAAUCUCUGCCAUCUGCCUUGUAUAUUGUUUUUCCAGAAUGAAGCCAAGUAAAAACAGUGAGACUGAAUAAUUGUAC
rnacentral:lncRNA from 1 species